AUCUGGGCGGCGGAAUUCAGGAUGGCUGGCGGGUCUGGCGCCCGUCCGGCCGUUUGAUAUUUCCGUCGCCGUUGCAGACGUCGCGACCUGUUUGUCGUCGGUCCUUGCUCGGAGGAAUCGCGUUCGAGUUCGUUGCGGGGCGUGUUUCGACGCGUCUCGCGAUGAAGGCGCGGCUCUCUGGCUGACGACGGACAGUAAGCAACGGUGGCCGGCGUGGUGUCUCGCACUCCGCGUCGGUGCCGGUCAGCGACGAUUUCUUCGGGCCUCUUUCCGACCCGUCUUGAAACACGGACCAAGGAGUCUAACAUGCGCGCGAGUCGCGGGGUUUCGAGCGUGCUACGGUGCGCUCGUCACUUCCGAAACCCGUAUAUACAUUUGAAGGCGUAAUGAAAGUGAACAGGGAAGAUGGCGUUCCGAGUCCACGAACCGUGAUCGAGUAUCGCGGCCGGACGCCCGCACUCCCGGGGCGUCUCAAUGGCUCGUCGCGGAUGCGGACGGUCGUUCUACGGGGCGGCCGUCGGUCUGCGACGGACCGA
rnacentral:rRNA from 1 species